rnacentral:lncRNA from 1 species
CUUUGCAAAUAUACAUGUGGUGUUUACAUAUUUCAAAAGAGACAAUGGCCAGAGCUCAACAUAACGUUGAUGAGUUUAUCUCAAAAUACCUGUCUAUAGAUGAGUCAAUCUAUGCUUAGAGAACCGCGCAGGCAGUGUAAUAAAGGUUGGUUUUACUCAAUUAAUCUGUAUUAUUUCUCUCUACAAGGAUUGAAUUUUUUUGUGAUCAUAAUAUUAUUGUUGGUUUUUUUAUUUUAUUUUUGUUGCCCACUAUAGUCUGUAUUCUGUUGAUAUUAUCCAAACCUACAAAAAUUGCACUCUAAUUAGUGCUGGGGGAAGUCAUUAACUCACAGCGAAUAUUGCCGUUUCUUGUGUGUUGAAGUCGUCAUGGCUACUUUCGAAUAGGAACAAAAAUUAAAGCACUAUCCUUUUCUUUAUUCAUUUAUCAAUUUGUGAGUGUAUGAUAUUUUAUUGUUCUGAAUUUGUAAAUCAAAUAUUUUUUUUUCCUUUUAAUAUUUUUCUUAUACUAUAUAAAAC